CCAAUAGCGUAUAUUAAAGUUGUUGCAGUUAAAAAGCUCGUAGUUGAAUUUCGGGAUCAGUAGGUCGGUCGUGCCACUGGUAUGAACUGGUCUCACUGGUUCCUCCCUCUUGACGAACUGCAAUGCUAUUAAUUAAGUGUUGUAGGAAAUCAGGACUGUUACUUUGAAAAAAUUAGAGUGUUUAAAGCAGGCUUUGGCUUGAAUACAUUAGCAUGGAAUAAUGAAAUAGGACGUUCGAUCCUAUUUUGUUGGCUUCUAGGAUUGACGUAAUGAUUAAUAGGAACAGUUGGUGGCAUUAGUAUUCAAUUGUCAGAGGUGAAAUUCUUGGAUUUAUUGAAGACUAACUACUGCGAAAGCAUUUGCCAAGGAUGUUUUCAUUAAUCAAGAACGAAAGUUAGGGGAUCGAAGACGAUCAGAUACCGUCGUAGUCUUAACCAUAAACUAUGCCGACUAGGGAUCGGAUGAUGUUAAUUUUUUAAUGACUCAUUCGGCGCCUUACG
rnacentral:misc_RNA from 1 species